rfam:Anopheles darlingi Cont7069, whole genome shotgun sequence.
CAAACCGCCCUUUUUAGGGCGACCGAAUCCAUUUUAGAAAGAGUUU